AUGGGCCUCCAACACCAAGACGGUGACAAGAAGGUCGAGCAAGGGCCAUCCCCUUCGACCACGGCGAUAGGAGUUGAGCAUGGAGACAUUUGCACCUACAUCUCUCCGACACCCACAAAUGUCGAGAUGCCCCAAGUGCCAUGUGAGGAGAGCCACCACCCCAUGAGUGACAUGAGUGACUCCACCAUACGUGACAUUGAGAGCAUUUCCUAUGAGAGGAUGAGUGUGACCACCACUAGCCCCACACAUGAGAGCAUGGCACACAUCCUAUGUGAGGUUGAGCGCCAUUCGAGUGACUCCACCAACCAUAUGAGUGAGAGCAUUUUGAGGAAGUGA
rnacentral:rRNA from 1 species